ACACCACUACGAUGACAACAUACUCACAGUUUGUUGGUAUAUCAUUCACAAUAAGCUAAAAAAUAAUAUAUACUAUAUAUCUCAUUCCCAAAUAGUGAAAAUAUUUUCAAUCCUUUCAUAGCAUUACUCACUAACUCUCUUGAACGUGGGAUACGACGUCGUUUCUAUCUCCCCAUCUCCCAUCAACCCUAGCUGGCUUAACGUGUUUCCUCUCCCCUUUCUACCCACUCCGUCGUACCAUUCAUCAGCGUGAAGUUGAGGCUUUCCUUUCUGUUGCCGGUUGUUGUUUGCCAGACAUGGUGGAACCAUUCACGUCUCUACAUCUCAAACUCUCCACUGUUCAUUCGUCAUUCAGCAGUGUUUUAGGUUUGAAUCCAUCAGUGUUUUGGGUUUCCUCUCCUCCUCUGUAGGGUUCUCACGUUUUCUGAUCCAAUUGAUGAUGGAGGAUUUCAUCACGUUGAUGAUGGCUCCAAUGGUAAUAUGAGUUUCCUUUAUCCAAUUCUUCACUCUUUCAUUAAAACCCCAUUACUAAAUUGAUUGUACAAAUAGUUAAUCUACCAAUAUUCAGUCGAUUGCUACUUGAGCUUUUGCACUACGAAGUGGUUACAAAAUAUUACAUGGCACAAACUGUAAUAUUACCAGGGAAGGAUUGACUACCUUUUUACCUGUCUGGAGUGUUGUUAUGUGUAUUUCUCAAUGAAGGAAAAUAACAGCUAUCCUUUUAAAGGGAUGCAGGGGAAGAUUACACACCAGUUGUGACACCUCUUAUUGCUAAAGAAUAAAGUUAUUUAUGUUGGUUUAUGUUGAGUAAUGGACACUACCAGUCGUACUGCAUCUUCAACCUCACUUGAACUACUUUGAUGCUUUGCAAUUCAUUAUUUUCUAUUUGAUAUCCUGUUCUGGAGCAUUAUGUUUUGGGGGAAGUUUCUACUUCAGUGAUAACUGGUUUUCCUUUCUCUCUAUACUCAACCUUUGUGAUUGAGGCUCGUCAUGGAUUUAAUAAGGUUCAUAUCCUCCUUUCAACUUCAAUCAUCUAUCUCUUAUUUCAUCAAUCUUUUUAGUCUGCAGCUUUUGAGUUUGAUCUGACAUCUCAUUUUGCUAAUAUUGAUAGAAGUGUAUCUGUUGUAAAAUUCAUAUAUACAUUGUAACAUUUGUUGUUAUCUAUCAUACAACAAACACCAUGUCUAUUCUUUAAGGACAUGAUAAAAGGAAUUUUCCUUUAUGUAAUAAUUGGUUCACCUAUUGUUGUUGCAAUUAUAAUAGUACAUAUAAAAUCUCAGACUAUUGGAAAUAA